UACGUAGGGCGCAAGCGUUGUCCGGAAUUAUUGGGCGUAAAGAGCUCGUAGGUGGUUUGUUACGUCUGCUGUGAAAACCUAGGGCUUAACCCUGGGCUUGCAGUGGAUACGGGCAGACUAGAGGUAGGUAGGGGAGAAUGGAAUUCCGGGUGUAGCGGUGGAAUGCGUAGAGAUCCGGAAGAACACCGGUGGCGAAGGCGGUCUGCUGGGCAGUUGCUGACGCUGAUGCGCGACAGCGUGGGGAGCAAACAGG
rnacentral:rRNA from 1 species